UCGACGUAAACAAGUAACGUACCGCCAUAUCACGAGACAUUAAGAACCCAGUGAGUUCGAACCGAACGUCGUUCCGCCUUUCCACUCGCGUUAAAGACGAUGACAAGGAAGAGAAAGAGAAGGAAAAGGACAGAGACAGCCUCCCGAAUGGUGGAAAGCGAAGAAAGCUCGGAAGAAUGGAAACGGGAGGCCGCGAGAAUACCGCGAGAAACGACGUCGACGACAACGACGACGAAUACGACGAUGGCGACGACGAAGACGAUGCUUGUGGCGUCGUCGGCUGCGGAAACCAUUAUUUCGUCGAGGCGAGCUGAAAAAUUAUUUCCCCCUGCAACCUUCGAUCGUUGAAGCAAGUCGGCCGUUAUCCAGCCGAUCUCAUCAUCGGAUCGCUCUUGUCGCGAUGGUAACGUCGUAGUCG